GCCCUUAUAGCUCAAUGGUAGAGCAUUAGUCUUGUAAACUAAAGAUUUGAAGUUCAAUCCUGCAUGAGGGCA